CCUACGGGAGGCAGCAGUGAGGAAUAUUGGUCAAUGGACGAGAGUCUGAACCAGCCAAGUAGCGUGCAGGAUGACUGCCCUAUGGGUUGUAAACUUCUUUUAUAUGGGAAUAAAAUGUUCCACGUGUGGGAUUUUGUAUGUACCAUAUGAAUAAGGAUCGGCUAACGCCGUGCCAGCAGCCGCGGUAAUCCGGAGGAUCCGAGCGUUAUCCGGAUUUAUUGGGUUUAAAGGGAGCGUAGGUGGAUUGUUAAGUCUGUUGUGAAAGGUUGCGGCUCAACCGUAACAUUGCAGUUGAAACGGGCAGUCUUGAGUACAGUAGAGGUGGGCGGAAUUCGUGGUGUAGCGGUGAAAUGCUUAGAUAUCACGAAGAACUCCGAUUGCGAAGGCAGCUCACUGGACUGCAACUGACACUGAGGCUCGAAAGUGUGGGUAUCAAACAGGAUUAGAUACCCGGGUAGUC
rnacentral:rRNA from 1 species